GAAAUGCGAUAAGUAAUGUGAAUUGCAGAAUUCAGUGAAUCAUCGAAUCUUUGAACGCACCUUGCGCUCCUUGGUAUUCCUUGGAGCAUGCCUGUUUGAGUAUCAUGAAAUCUUCAAAGUAAAUCUUUUGUUAACUCAAUUGGUUUCUACUUUGGUAUAGGAGGUCUUUGCAGCUUCACACCUGCUCCUCUUUGUUCAUUAGCUGGAUCUCAGUGUUAUGCUUGGUUCCACUCGGCGUGAUAAGUUAUCUAUCGCUGAGGACACUGUAAAAGGUGGCCAAGGUAAAUGCAGAUGAACCGCUUCUAAUAGUCCAUUGACUUGGACAAUACUUUUAUGAUCUGAUCUCAAAUCAGGUAGGACUACCCGCUGAACUUAAGC
rnacentral:misc_RNA from 1 species